rnacentral:rRNA from 1 species
UCGGCUUAGAGUUUGAUCAUGGCUCAGGAUGAACGCUGGCGGCGUGCUUAACACAUGCAAGUCGAGCGAGCCUUCGGGUAGCGGCGGACGGGUGAGUAACGCGUGGGUAACCUGCCUCAUACAGGGGGAUAACAGUUAGAAAUGACUGCUAAUACCGCAUAAGCGCACAGCUGCAUGGCCAGUGUGAAAAACUCCGGUGGUAUGAGAUGGACCCGCGUCUGAUUAGGUAGUUGGUAGGGUAACGGCCUACCAAGCCGACGAUCAGUAGCCGACCUGAGAGGGUGACCGGCCACAUUGGGACUGAGACACGGCCCAAACUCCUACGGGAGGCAGCAGUGGGGAAUAUUGGACAAUGGGGGAAACCCUGAUCCAGCGACGCCGCGUGACUGAAGAAGUAUUUCGGUAUGUAAAGGUCUAUCAGCAGGGAAGAAAAUGACGGUACCUGACUAAGAAGCCCCGGCUAACUACGUGCCAGCAGCCGCGGUAAUACGUAGGGGGCAAGCGUUAUCCGGAUUUACUGGGUGUAAAGGGAGCGUAGACGGCGAUGCAAGUCUGAAGUGAAAGCCCGGGGCUCAACCCCGGGACUGCUUUGGAAACUGUGUUGCUGGAGUGCAGAGAGGUAAGUGGAAUUCCUAGUGUAGCGGUGAAAUGCGUAGAUAUUAGGAGGAACACCAGUGGCGAAGCGGCUUACUGGACUGUAACUGACGUUGAGC